rnacentral:rRNA from 1 species
UAGCGAGGAAAGAAACUAACAAGGAUUCCCCUAGUAACGGCGAGUGAAGAGGGAUUUAGCCCAGCACCGAAUCCUCUGGUCUUGACGGUCAGUUGGAACUGUGGUGUUUGGGUGCUUUCAUGUCCUUGUAGCCGUUCGGCUUAAGUUCUCUUGAUCGGGACUUUACCCAAAGAGGGUGUUAGGCCCGUCUAUGUCGAACGUUAGCUGCGGGCUUGGAAGCGCCUAGGAGUCGGGCUGUUUGAGAUUGCAGCUCAAAGUGGGUGGUAAGCUCCAUCUAAGGCUAAAUACUUGCAUGAGUCCGAUAGCAGACAAGUACCGUGAGGGAAAGUUGAAAAGAACUUUGAAGAGAGAGUUCAAUAGUACGUGAAACCGUUUAGAGGUAAACGAACGGGACCGCAAACGCCUCUCGGUCAUAUUCAAUCUAGCGUCGGGGAUGCUUUCGGUGGACGGACUAGUUUUCUGGCCGUUGCCGAUUGUUUUUCUUCGAUUGCUGGCUGCUUGUUUGGCCGUUGAGGGCGCCACAACCGGUUUGCUAAUAUUUUCUUAUAGGUUGGCUUACGGUUCGGAGUAAGGUAGGCCGGCAUGCCGCAUUUCUUUCGGGACGUGUGGUUGUCGGUUGUCAUAUAGAUUCCGUUCUCUGACGCACGACCGGCAGACCGAGGAAGAACUUUAAGGCGGCGUCCUCCUCUUUUGGCGACUUACCAGUUCGAUUAGUUGGCCGUGUUCGACCGUGAUAAACUGCUUGCAGUGUAUCGUGACCGCACGGUUAACGUUGGGCUAGUUUUGUCGUUUGACGCUCAAGGUUAGUGGCGAAUUGUCGGCACCCCGUUCGACCCGUCUUGAAACACGGACCAAGGAGUGCAGCAUGCGUGCGAGUCGUAGGGUUCUCAACGAGACCUGAAGGCGAAAUGAAGGUAAAGGGCGGUCUCUCGGGGCCGUCUAAGGUGUGAUCCGAAACCGGUCGUCAAUGCCGGUCCGGCGCAACACCGGCCCGUCUUAAACCCAGUGCCGGUUGAGGCGGCGCAAGAGCACGUACGCUGCGACCCGAAAGAUGGUGAACUAUGCCUGAGUAGGAUGAAGCCAGAGGAAACUCUGGUGGAAUCC